UACGUAGGGGCCUAGCGUUGUCCGGAAUCAUUGGGCGUAAAGAGCUCGUAGGCGGUUCGGCAAGUCACGUGUGAAAUCUCCACGCUUAACGUGGAGGCGCCACGUGAAACUGCCGUGACUCGAGUCCGGUAGGGGAGUGUGGAAUUCCCGGUGUAGCGGUGAAAUGCGCAGAUAUCGGGAGGAACACCAGUAGCGAAGGCGGCACUCUGGGACGGUACUGACGCUGAGGAGCGAAAGCGUGGGGAGCGAACAGG
rnacentral:rRNA from 1 species